UACGUAGGGGGCGAGCGUUGUCCGGAUUUAUUGGGCGUAAAGAGCGUGUAGGCGGCCAGGUAGGUCUGCUGUGAAAACUCGAGGCUCAACCUCGAGACGUCGGCGGAAACCAUCUGGCUAGAGUCCGGAAGAGGAGAGUGGAAUUCCUGGUGUAGCGGUGAAAUGCGCAGAUAUCAGGAAGAACUCCCGUGGCGAAGGCGGCUCUCUGGGACGGUACUGACGCUGAGACGCGAAAGCGUGGGGAGCGAACAGG
rnacentral:rRNA from 1 species